CUCAAUAAGAGGUCCAGCCUGCCAGUGACCCUGUUCAACGGCCGCGGUAUCCUAACCGUGCGAAGGUAGCGUAAUCACUUGUUCUUUAAAUGAGGACUAGUAUGAAUGGCAUCACGAAGGUUAUACUGUCUCCUCUCUCUAAUCAGUGAAACUAAUCUCCCCGUGAAGAAGCGGGGAUAAUCUUAUAAGACGAGAAGACCCUAUGGAGCUUUAAACUAAGAAGCAAUUGCCCUCAUACCUUCGAAAUUCCAGAAAACUAAUGAGUACAAGGCACUGUGACUUCCAGUUUUAGGUUGGGGUGACCACGGAGUAAAAACUAACCUCCGUACUGAAUAGGGGCCUUCCCUAAACUAAGGGCCACAACCCCAAGAAUCAAUACAUUGACAGCAAUUGACCCAAAAAAUUUGAUCAAUGAACCAAGUUACCCUAGGGAUAACAGCGCAAUCCACUUCAAGAGCUCCUAUCGACAAGUGGGUUUACGACCUCGAUGUUGGAUCAGGGUACCCCAGUGGUGCAGCCGCUACUAACGGUUCGUUUGUUCAACGAUUAA
rnacentral:rRNA from 1 species